rnacentral:rRNA from 1 species
UACGUAGGGGGCGAGCGUUAUCCGGAAUUAUUGGGCGUAAAGAGUGCGUAGGUGGUUACCUAAGCGCAGGGUUUAAGGCAAUGGCUCAACCAUUGUAUGCCUUGCGAACUGGGCUACUUGAGUGCAGGAGAGGAAAGCGGAAUUCCUAGUGUAGCGGUGAAAUGCGUAGAUAUUAGGAGGAACACCAGUGGCGAAGGCGGCUUUCUGGACUGUAACUGACACUGAGGCACGAAAGCGUGGGGAGCAAACAGGAUUAGAUACCC